rnacentral:rRNA from 1 species
UACGUAGGGUGCGAGCGUUGUCCGGAAUUACUGGGCGUAAAGAGCUCGUAGGUGGUUUGUCGCGUUGUUCGUGAAAACCUGAGGCUUAACCUUGGGCGUGCGGGCGAUACGGGCAGACUGGAGUACUGCAGGGGAGACUGGAAUUCCUGGUGUAGCGGUGGAAUGCGCAGAUAUCAGGAGGAACACCGGUGGCGAAGGCGGUUCUCUGGGCCUUACCUGACGCUGAGGAGCGAAAGCGUGGGGAGCGAACAGG